rnacentral:rRNA from 1 species
CACCCCUACGGGAGGCAGCAGUGAGGAAUAUUGGUCAAUGGACGAAAGUCUGAACCAGCCAUGCCGCGUGCAGGAUGACGGCUCUAUGAGUUGUAAACUGCUUUUGUAUUAGGGUAAACACCCCUACGUGUAGGGGCUUGAAAGUAUAAUACGAAUAAGGAUCGGCUAACUCCGUGCCAGCAGCCGCGGUAAUACGGAGGAUCCAAGCGUUAUCCGGAUUUAUUGGGUUUAAAGGGUGCGUAGGCGGACCAUCAAGUCAGCAGUAAAAUCGUGGGGCCCAACCCCGGC